rnacentral:rRNA from 1 species
CCAAUAGCGUAUAUUAAAGUUGUUGCAGUUAAAAAGCUCGUAGUUGAAUUUCGGGGUCAGUAGGUUGGUCAUGCCACUGGUAUGUACUGGUCUCACUGAUUCCUCCUUCCUGAUGAGCCGUAAUGCCAUUAAUUUGGUGUUGCGAGGAAUCUGGACUGUUACUUUGAAAAAAUUAGAGUGUUUAAAGCAUGCUAACGCUUGAAUACAUUAGCAUGGAAUAAUGAAAUAGGACGUUCGAUCUUAUUUUGUUGGUUUCUAAGAUUGACGUAAUGAUUAAUAGGGAUAGUUGGGGGCAUUAGUAUUCAAUUGUCAGAGGUGAAAUUCUUGGAUUUAUUGAAGACUAACUACUGCGAAAGCAUUUGCCAAGGAUGUUUUCAUUAAUCAAGAACGAAAGUUAGGGGAUCGAAGACGAUCAGAUACCGUCGUAGUCUUAACCAUAAACUAUGCCGACUAGGGAUCGGAUGAUGUUAAUUUUUUAAUGACUCAUUCGGCGCCUUACG